GGAGAGGUGGCUCAGUGGUUAAGAGCACCGGCUGAUCUUCCAGCCUGGGUCUUGGGUUCAAUUCCCAGCAACUACA
rnacentral:tRNA from 1 species